rnacentral:lncRNA from 1 species
UCUCAAGCUGAGGGAGCCGGCUCUGGCCUCCGCCAGCCCAGAAAGGGGCUUCCACAGUGCAGCGGCGGGCUCAAGAGCUCCUCAAGCGCGGCCAGAGUGGGCGCCUAGGCCGAGUAGGCGCCGAGAGCGAGGGAGGGCUGCGAGCGCUGCCAGCAUGCUGUCACCUCUCAGAAUGACUUACGAUCAAGGGGUUCCAGAACCAGUCCCUCACAAACACCAAGGAAUGACUGUAUACUCCUUCAGGUACCAUGAAAAGACACAGCCAUUAACAUAUGUGUUCAACUAAACACAGAGCAUUGACUUGAAACAGUACAUGAUCAGAAUGAAGACAAUACUAUAAGGAACUACAGGGAGAAACUAAUAUUGUCAGGGUGGAGAGGAUAAUGGAGAAAACAAAGAAGGAGGCAUUAUACCUAGGACUCCAGGGAGAGAAGGAAACAGGCAAAGGAGCACAUGAACAUGAAAGUUCUGGUGUGUUGACACACGGGUAACUAGGACAUUGGAAUCCAGAACUCUCAAGAACAAAGCCUGUGUAACAUGAUGGAUCAUGCCAGUCUCCAGCCCACCUGAAUAAAUGUUAAUUCUCUGGAGUUAAAAAAAGAUUAAAUCAUUUACUUUUUAAUACAAGUUCAUAAAUUCAAAUGCAAGAGAUAUAUUGUAUUUAGAUGGACACACUUCACAGUAUACUGAAAAAACAUACAGGCUUAGCUUUGAAUCCUUCCCACUACCCCCACCCGCAUUUUGUUAGCUCUUUAACUAGAAACAUCUUAAUUUACCUAAA